rnacentral:misc_RNA from 1 species
AAGUCGUAACAAGGUUUCCGUAGGUGAACCUGCGGAAGGAUCAUUAACACGUAUCCACGUCACACCUCUGUGCACUCGUUUUCACUCUCCCUCUCACACACACGAAUUGGCGCUACGACUCUGCUGCUGCAUUGGUUGGGACGUCUCCUUGACUGCUCGCAGUCGGGACCGUCACAUCAGCGAGUCGGACACGGGAUCGUUCGCGGUCUUCAAACAAUUGCAGUGCGCUGAGAGGCGAAUUCUCAUUCUGUACACUCCCCUUCCAAGAGAGUCAGAGUGGGAGAUUAUCAUUCACACAUUUCACACCCUUUUUGCUAGUUGACUUUUCUACUGUAGUGUCUGCGAUUCUUAAUCGACUCACAGCAUUGCACGUUUAAUCUAUUUGAACGUUAAUGAAACAACUCUUAGCAAUGGAUAUCUAGGUUCUC